GCAAGUCGAGCGAUGAAGUUUCCUUCGGGAAACGGAUUAGCGGCAGACGGGUGAGUAACACGUGGGCAACCUACCUCAAAGUGGGGGAUAGCCUCUCGAAAGGGAGAUUAAUACCGCAUAAAAUAUUUUCUACGCAUGUAGGAAAUAUUAAAGAUUUAUUGCUUUGAGAUGGGCCCGCGGCGCAUUAGCUAGUUGGAGAGGUAACGGCUCACCAAGGCGACGAUGCGUAGCCGACCUGAGAGGGUGAUC
rnacentral:rRNA from 1 species